CUGGGCCAUCUGUCCAGCCCUAAAAAUAUAUUCUUUUCAGUGCUGGAGAGAUGGCUUAG
rnacentral:miRNA from 1 species